AGUGAACGCUGGCGGUAGGCCUAACACAUGCAAGUCGAACGGCAGCACAGUAAGAGCUUGCUCUUACGGGUGGCGAGUGGCGGACGGGUGAGGAAUACAUCGGAAUCUACUUUUUCGCGGGGGAUAACGUAGGGAAACUUACGCUAAUACCGCAUACGACCUACGGGUGAAAGCAGGGGAUCUUCGGACCUUGCGCGAUUGAAUGAGACGAUGUCGGAUUAGCUAGUUGGCGGGGUAAAGGCCCACCAAGGCGACGAUCCGUAGCUGGUCUGAGAGGAUGAUCAGCCACACUGGAACUGAGACACGGUCCAGACUCCUACGGGAGGCAGCAGUGGGGAAUAUUGGACAAUGGGCGCAAGCCUGAUCCAGCCAUACCGCGUGGGUGAAGAAGGCCUUCGGGUUGUAAAGCCCUUUUGUUGGGAAAGAAAAGCAGCAGGUUAAUACCCCGCUGUUCUGACGGUACCCAAAGAAUAAGCACCGGCUAACUUCGUG
rnacentral:rRNA from 1 species